rnacentral:rRNA from 1 species
GAUGAACGCUGGCGGCGUGCCUAAUACAUGCAAGUCGAGCGAACGGACGAGAAGCUUGCUUCUCUGAUGUUAGCGGCGGACGGGUGAGUAACACGUGGAUAACCUACCUAUAAGACUGGGAAAACUUCGGGAAACCGGAGCUAAUACCGGAUGAUAUUUUGAACCGCAUGGUUCAAAAGUGAAAGACGGUCUUGCUGUCACUUAUAGAUGGAUCCGCGCUGCAUUAGCUAGUUGGUAAGGUAACGGCUUACCAAGGCAACGAUGCAUAGCCGACCUGAGAGGGUGAUCGUCCACACUGGAACUGAGACACGGUCCAGACUCCUACGGGAGGCAGCAGUAGGGAAUCUUCCGCAAUGGGCGAAAGCCUGACGGAGCAACGCCGCGUGAGUGAUGAAGGUCUUCGGAUCGUAAAACUCUGUUAUUAGGGAAGAACAUAUGUGUAAGUAACUGUGCACAUCUUGACGGUACCUAAUCAGAAAGCCACGGCUAACUACGUG